GGUUACAGCCAUACCACCCUGAGCGCGCCCGAUCUCGUCUGAUCUCGGAAGCUAAGCAGGGUCGGGCCUGGUUAGUACUUGGAUGGGAGACCGCCUGGGGAAAUCCUGGAGACCACCU
rnacentral:rRNA from 1 species